CUAACACAUGCAAGUCGAGCGGAAACGAGUUAUCUGAACCUUCGGGGAACGAUAACGGCGUCGAGCGGCGGACGGGUGAGUAAUGCCUAGGAAAUUGCCCUGAUGUGGGGGAUAACCAUUGGAAACGAUGGCUAAUACCGCAUAAUGCCUACGGGCCAAAGAGGGGGACCUUCGGGCCUCUCGGCGUCAGGAUAUGCCUAGGUGGGAUUAGCUAGUUGGUGAGGUAAUGGCUCACCAAGGCGACGAUCCCUAGCUGGUCUGAGAGGAUGAUCAGCCACACUGGAACUGAGACACGGUCCAG
rnacentral:rRNA from 1 species